rnacentral:rRNA from 1 species
AAACGUAGGUGGCGAACGUUAUCCGGAUUUACUGGGCGUAAAGCGCUCGCAGGCGGCUUCGUAAGUCUGACGUGAAAGCUCCCGGCUUAACUGGGAGAGGCCGUUGGAUACUGCGGAGCUUGAGGGCAGGAGAGGAGAGUGGAAUUCCCGGUGUAGCGGUGGAAUGCGUAGAUAUCGGGAGGAACUCCAGUGGCGAAGGCGACUCUCUGGCCUGACCCUGACGCUCAGGAGCGAAAGCGUGGGGAGCGAACAGGAUUAGAUACCCUAGUAGUCC